rnacentral:lncRNA from 1 species
CUUGCGUUCUACGUUGACUCGCUGUACUGGGCCAUGAAGGGACUAGGUACCGACGAUGACAAACUCAUUCGCAUCGUCGUAGGCAGAUCAGAGAUCGACCUGGCUUCCAUCAAGAAAAUGUUCAAAGAGAAAUACACCACCACCACCCUGGCCGCCAUGGUCGAAGACGAUACCAGUGGAGACUACAAGAAUGUUCUCAUUGGUAUCAUCAACGCCGAUGCUGCACCUACCCCAGCCCCCACCACCACCUAAAGACCGGCUGGAGUCAUUCCAUUCACCAAGU